rnacentral:rRNA from 1 species
UCGAGAAUUUUUCUCAAUGGGGGAAACCCUGAAGGAGCGACGCCGCGUGGAGGAUGAAGGUCUUCGGGUUGUAAACUCCUGUCAUUUGGGAACAAUGCGUAAAUAUUAACUGUAUUUGCGUUGAUAGUACCAGAAGAGGAAGAGACGGCUAACUCUGUGCCAGCAGCCGCGGUAAUACAGAGGUCUCAAGCGUUGUUCGGAUUCAUUGGGCGUAAAGGGUGCGUAGGCGGCGCGGUAAGUCGGGUGUGAAAUCUCGGAGCUUAACUCCGAAACUGCAUUCGAUACUGCCGUGCUUGAGGACUGGAGAGGAGACUGGAAUUUACGGUGUAGCGGUGAAAUGCGUAGAUAUCGUAAGGAAGACCAGUGGCGAAGGCGGGUCUCUGGACAGUUCCUGACGCUGAGGCACGAAGGCCAGGGGAGCAAACG